GAUGAAGAACGUAGCGAAACGCGAUAAGUAAUGUGAAUUGCAGAAUCCAGUGAAUCAUCGAAUCUUUGAACGCACAUUGCGCCCGCCAGCAUUCUGGCGGGCAUGCCUGUUCGAGCGUCAUUUCAACCCUCGACCUCCCCUUGGGGAGGUCGGCGUUGGGGACCGGCAGCACACCGCCGGCCCUGAAAUGGAGUGGCGGCCCGUCCGCGGCGACCUCUGCGCAGUAAUACAGCUCGCACCGGGACCCCGACGCGGCCACGCCGUAAAACACCCAACUACUGAACGUUGACCUCGAAUCAGGUAGGACUACCCGCUGAACUUAAGCAUAUCAAUAAGCGGAGGA
rnacentral:misc_RNA from 1 species